rnacentral:rRNA from 1 species
CAGAUCAGGUAGGAGUACCCGCUGAACUUAAGCAUAUCAAUAAGCGGAGGAAAAGAAACCAACAGGGAUUGCCCCAGUAGCGGCGAGUGAAGCGGCAAGAGCUCAGAUUUGAAAUCGUGUUUCGGCACGAGUUGUAGAGUGUAGGCGGGAGUCUCUGUGGAGCGCGGUGUCCAAGUCCCUUGGAACAGGGUGCCUGAGAGGGUGAGAGCCCCGUAGGGUGCUGCGCGAAGCUUUUGAGGCCCUGCUGACGAGUCGAGUUGUUUGGGAAUGCAGCUCCAAGCGGGUGGUAAAUUCCAUCUAAGGCUAAAUAUUGGCGAGAGACCGAUAGCGAACAAGUACUGUGAAGGAAAGAUGAAAAGCACUUUGAAAAGAGAGUGAAACAGCACGUGAAAUUGUUGAAAGGGAAGGGUAUUGGGCUCGACAUGGGGGGUGCGCACCGCUGUCUCUUGUAGGCGGCGCUCUGGGCGCCCUCUGGGCCAGCAUCGGUUCCUGCUGCGGGAGAAGGGGCUCCGGAAAGUGGCUCUUCGGAGUGUUAUAGCCGGGGCCAGAUGCCGCGUGUGGGACCGAGGACUGCGGCUCAUCUCGGAUGCUGCAAAC